UCUAUCGAAACUGGGCGACAACCUAACCCACAGAUUUCUCACUCUCUAAAUCAAACUUAACCUAUUCAUCUUCAUUGUUUUGUUUAUCAGAAUCUCAUUUUGCUAUUUCUUCUUCAAAUCAAGGAUUAUUCUAGCGUUCUAAAAGAUCGAUUGCUGGUGGUGCUGCUGAUAUUUUUGGAACGCAUUGAGAUUUUCUUAAAGAUGGAUUCAGGGGCUGCAAACUAAUCUCAAGGAGAUGCAUCUGUCCAGAAUAAACGGAAUGCUAUGCUUUGUUUGAGGCUGCACAUUGGAUCAGGGACCAAGGCUUCCAGAAUAUCUGCUUAGUUAGUGAUGCCAAAAAUGUUAUGGCUUAUUUAAAUAAUUGCAGAGACCAAAUUAGUUGGUCCUCUUGCUCAUUUUCAGAUGAUUGUUUGUUUCUUCUACAAGAUACUCAUAUUAUAUGUUUUAAAUAUGUCAAGAGAAACUUGAAUAGCCUUGCAGACAUAGCUGCAAGACGUAGUCGAGUUGAUAAUGUCUCAGGAGAGUGGCAUGAGAAUAACUGUCCACACUUCCUGCAAAAUGUUGUAAACUCCA